UUUAAAACCUUUUUUUUUCCUAUUUCCUUUUCCAAACACAGCCAACAUUCUAACCAAAUUUUACAGCCCUAAAAUCAAUUUGUUAGGGCUCAUUCCAGCAACCGCCGAACCACCAUUCCAUUUGGUGGUCGACAAUGCACAAGCAGCGACCAGAUUCCACCGACGAAGGCUCCGCUCAAGGAAAUCUGGAACGGCUGUACGGAGGAGCGAGGAAACGGCUCAUGGGAACCACCCCCUGGCACUAUUCUGGCGUAUUCCAUAAGUUUCUGGUGUUCUCGGUUGUUGAUUUUCUUUGGGUCCAAUUGGGUCUCGGGUUUAGGGUUUGGGUUUAUUCAAUUAGGUUUAAAAAAUGUAUUUGGGCUGCUUUUAAUUUAAUUUAUUAUUUGGGCUGCUUUUAAUUUAAUUUAUUAUUUGGGCUUGAUAGUUUGUAAAAAACUUAGACUUUAUUUAUUUAUUUUUAAUUGAUUUUUGGUUUUA